rnacentral:rRNA from 1 species
AUUGAACGCUGGCGGCAGGCCUAACACAUGCCAGUCGAACGGUAACAGGAAGAAGCUUGCUUCUUUGCUGACGAGUGGCGGACGGGUGAGUAAUGUCUGGGAAACUGCCUGAUGGAGGGGGAUAACUACUGGAGACGGUAGCUAAUACCGCAUAAUGUCGCAAGACCAAAGAGGGGGACCUUCGGGCCUCUUGCCAUCGGAUGUGCCCAGAUGGGAUUAGCUAGUAGGUGGGGUAACGGCUCACCUAGGCGACGAUCCCUAGCUGGUCUGAGAGGAUGACCAGCCACACUGGAACUGAGACACGGUCCAGACUCCUACGGGAGGCAGCAGUGGGGAAUAUUGCACAAUGGGCGCAAGCCUGAUGCAGCUAUGCCGCGUGUAUGAAGAAGGCCUUCGGGUUGUAAAGUACUUUCAGCGGGGAGGAAGGGAGUAAAGUUAAUACCUUUGCUCAUUGACGUUACCCGCAGAAGAAGCACCGGCUAACUCCGUG